GAAACAGGGUACUCAGGAGAAAGCUUCUAACUUAACUCCUAAGCGAUGAAAUUUCGUUUAUGUUUCU
rnacentral:tRNA from 1 species